UACGAAGGUGGCAAGCGUUGUUCGGAUUUACUGGGCGUACAGGGAGCGUAGGCGGUUGGAUAAGCCCUCCGUGAAAUCUCCAGGCUUAACCUGGAAAGUGCAGAGGGGACUGUUCAGCUAGAGGAUGGGAGAGGAGCGCGGAAUUCCCGGUGUAGCGGUGAAAUGCGUAGAGAUCGGGAGGAAGGCCGGUGGCGAAGGCGGCGCUCUGGGCUCUACCUGACGCUGAGGCGCGAAAGCGUGGGGAGCGAACCGG
rnacentral:rRNA from 1 species